AUUGAACGCUGGCGGCAGGCCUAACACAUGCAAGUCGAGCGGAUGAGAGGAGCUUGCUCCUCGAUUCAGCGGCGGACGGGUGAGUAAUGCCUAGGAAUCUGCCCAGUAGUGGGGGACAACGUUUCGAAAGGAACGCUAAUACCGCAUACGUCCUACGGGAGAAAGUGGGGGAUCUUCGGACCUCACGCUAUUGGAUGAGCCUAGGUCGGAUUAGCUAGUUGGUAGGGUAAAGGCCUACCAAGGCGACGAUCCGUAACUGGUCUGAGAGGAUGAUCAGUCACACUGGAACUGAGACACGGUCCAGACUCCUACGGGAGGCAGCAGUGGGGAAUAUUGGACAAUGGGCGCAAGCCUGAUUCAGCCAUGCCGCGUGUGUGAAGAAGGCCCUCGGGUCGUAAAGCACUUUAAGUUGGGAGGAAGGGCUUACAGCGAAUACCUGUGAGUUUUGACGUUACCGACAGAAUAAGCACCGGCUAACUUCGUGCCAGCCGCCGCCGUAA
rnacentral:rRNA from 1 species